rfam:Ictidomys tridecemlineatus contig070470, whole genome shotgun sequence.
UGGGAUGUGGCUCAGUGGUAGAGCACUUGCUCAGCAUGCAAAGGGCCCUGGGGUCCAUCCCCAGCCCCACAA